GAGACCGGCGCACGGGUGCGUAACGCGUAUGCAAUCUACCUUUUACAGAGGGAUAGCCCAGAGAAAUUUGGAUUAAUACCUCAUAGUAUAUAGACUCGGCAUCGAGAUUAUAUUAAAGUCACAACGGUAAAAGAUGAGCAUGCGUCCCAUUAGCUAGUUGGUAAGGUAACGGCUUACCAAGGCUACGAUGGGUAGGGGUCCUGAGAGGGAGAUCCCCCACACUGGUACUGAGACACGGACCAGACUCCUACGGGAGGCAGCAGUGAGGAAUAUUGGACAAUGGGCGCAAGCCUGAUCCAGCCAUGCCGCGUGCAGGAUGACGGUCCUAUGGAUUGUAAACUGCUUUUAUACGAGAAGAAACACUACUUCGUGAAGUAGCUUGACGGUAUCGUAAGAAUAAGGAUCGGCUAACUCCGUGCCAGCAGCCGCGGUAAUACGGAGGAUCCAAGCGUUAUCCGGAAUCAUUGGGUUUAAAGGGUCCGUAGGCGGUUUAAUAAGUCAGUGGUGAAAGCCCAUCGCUCAACGGUGGAACGGCCAUUGAUACUGUUAGACUUGAAUUAUUAGGAAGUAACUAGAAUAUGUAGUGUAGCGGUGAAAUGCUUAGAGAUUACAUGGAAUACCAAUUGCGAAGGCAGGUUACUACUAAUUGAUUGACGCUGAUGGACGAAAGCGUGGGUAGCGAACAGGAUUAGAUACCCUGGUAGUCCACGCCGUAAACGAUGGAUACUAGCUGUUGGGAGCAAUCUCAGUGGCUAAGCGAAAGUGAUAAGUAUCCCACCUGGGGAGUACGUUCGCAAGAAUGAAACUCAAAGGAAUUGACGGGGGCCCGCACAAGCGGUGGAGCAUGUGGUUUAAUUCGAUGAUACGCGAGGAACCUUACCAAGGCUUAAAUGUAGAUUGACCGGUUUGGAAACAGAUCUUUCGCAAGACAAUUUACAAGGUGCUGCAUGGUUGUCGUCAGCUCGUGCCGUGAGGUGUCAGGUUAAGUCCUAUAACGAGCGCAACCCCUGUUGUUAGUUGCCAGCGAGUCAUGUCGGGAACUCUAACAAGACUGCCAGUGCAAACUGUGAGGAAGGUGGGGAUGACGUCAAAUCAUCACGGCCCUUACGCCUUGGGCUACACACGUGCUACAAUGGCCGGUACAGAGAGCAGCCACUGGGCGACCAGGAGCGAAUCUAUAAAACCGGUCACAGUUCGGAUCGGAGUCUGCAACUCGACUCCG
rnacentral:rRNA from 1 species